rnacentral:rRNA from 1 species
UGAGCAAUCUGCCCUUCUCUUCGGAAUAAGCGUGGGAAACCGCGUCUAAUGCCGAAUACGACCUCCUUUCGCAUGAUCGGAGGUGGAAAGCUCCUGCGGAGAAGGAUGAGCUCGCGGCCUAUCAGCUAGUUGGUGUGGGUAAUGGCCCACCAAGGCGACGACGGGUAGCCGGCCUGAGAGGGUGACCGGCCACACUGGGACUGAGACACGGCCCAGACUCCUACGAGGAGG